UGCUGCCUUCCUUGGGCUGCUGGUCCUGGGUUCUUUAAGAAAGCAGGCUGAGCAAGCCACAGAGAGCAAGCCAGUAAGCAGCUCUUCUCAUGGUGUCUGCUUCAGUUUCUGCCUACAGGUUCAUGCCUUGAAUUGCUGUUCUGACUUUGCUUCAGUGAUAGAGUGUGACUUGAGAAUUAUAAACCAAAAUAAACCCUCUGCUCCCCAAGUUGCUUUUGGUCAUUGUCUUAGCUAUUUUUCUAUUGCUGAGAUAAAACACCACGACCAAGGUAAGUUAUAAAGGAAAGCAUUUAAUUUGGCAUACAGUGUUUUAGGGUUAGAGUCUAUGAUGGCAGAGUGAAGAAACAGCUGAGAGCUCACACCCUGAUCCACAGCUAUGAGGAGGGGAGGGACAGACAGACAGACAGACAGACCGACAGACAGACAGACAGAGACAGAGAGACAGACAGAGACAGAGACAGAGACAGAGAGACAGACAGAGAAAGAAUAAACACUGGAAUCCUUCCAGUCGUUUAAAACCUCAAAGCCCUCCCCCAGUGACACACCUUCUCCAAAAGGCCACACCUAAUCAUCCCGCAAACAAGUCUACCAACUGGGGACAAAGUAUUCAAAUAUGAGCCUUUGGGGGCCACUUUGAUUCAAACCACCACAGUUAGAACAUUUUUUCACAGCAGUAGAAGCCUAACUAGGGCAGAGGCCAACCUGGAUGAGGCAUGAGACACCUUUAAAAAAAAGAUUUUGUAGUUAACAAAGUAGAAGUAACUUCAUGUUUUAUUUGCAAAUGCCCUUGCUUGUAGGUAAGAAACAUCAUUUGAAAAUGAAAUAAAUUUUUGCCACUGGGUGGUGGUGGUGCACACGUCUUUAAUCCCAGCACUAAGGAAGCAGAGGCAGGAGGCUCUCAGAGUUGGAGGCCAGCCUGGUCUACAUAUCAAGUUCUAAGAUAGCCAGGGAUACACAAAAACCCUGUUUUGAAAAACAACAACAACAACAAAAAAACAACUUGCAUUUUAUCUUCCUUUCAUUUAUCCUCUUCUUUCUCCUUUUUGCAGGGGAUGGGAGGGGGCAUGGUCUCUAUUUAUCCUUGACUGGGCUGGAACUAAUUGAUAUUUAGACAAGACUUGCCUUGAACUCACAUAGAUCCACCUGCCUCUGCCUCCAAAAUGCUGAACUAAAGGCGUAUGACACCAGGUCCAGAUAAUUCUGCAUUUCCUUUUUUAAAAGAUUUGAUUUGAUUUGAUGAGUGUUUGUGUGAGGUGCCAGCAGUGUCCAGAACAGGCACCACACACCCUGUGAUAGAUGUCUAGAUCUGAGAGUGGCAGUGCCUCGGGAAACCCUUUGGACAGGAAGCAAAGGUGUCAUAGAUGUCAGUCACCUUGAGUGGUGUUGGGUAUGAUAGUGAAGGAAGUGAGACAGGGUGGGGUGUCAGUGUGGAAGGGGUAGGGCCUCUUCAGUCUUUAUGGGAUUUCUGAAAUAGCAAAGUUGCACUGAGCAGGAGGACACGGGCAAGCACAGAUGUGAGAGAAGGAGGCCAAAGAGUGCUGCAGAGGUUCUGAGAAACAGACUGUCCAGGACGGCCGCCUGCUCAGGUUCUGAGAAACAGACUGUGCAGGACGGCCGCCUGCUCAGGUUCUGAGAAGCAGACUGUCCAGGACGGCCGCCUGCUCAGGUUCUGAGAAACAGACUGUCCAGGACGGCCGCCUGCUCAGGAGACCAAGGCACUAGCACCCAACCAGAGGGAGGCUGAGUUCCAGGAAGCCUCACCCCUCCUGCUUGAGAAGGCAGCCCAAACAAUGGGCACCAAAAGUGACAGUGGACUGUCCUUGGGUCCUUUGUGGUUGUCAGUACUAUGAUGCCAAGGACAGCUCUCAUCCCAAAGGGAGUAAGAGCUAAAUACGGGGGGACCUGGACACAUGGAUUGCGGUAUCCCUGAGUGUCAUCUUCCACUGUGGAAGCAGUUCCUUGAUGUCUCACAGUCACAGGACAAGUGACAGUCACAAAUCAGCCCAUCCAGGGACCUCAGGUGGGCAGGUUACAGAGUGGAGAGCUCUCCUCUCCAGGUUUCAGAUUAUCCCACAGUAAUUUCUGCUGCUGGGCUGCUGGAAGCUGGUAAUCUGCUGAUCAGUGCAUUCCAAAGGUCCCACCCAUCGUCAGGACACUGGGAUGAACAUGUAUGUGGUAAAAGGUGGUUAAGGGGACUAAAAAAGCCCAAGGUAAUUUUGCGUUUUGUCUGUAUCCUCCCAGCUCUCCGAGGUCAUGAAGUUCUGACCAGUCAGCCCAAAGAAUCUUCAACAGGCGCAGCUUUCCCCAGGGACUCUGCCCACAGCCUUCUAGAUAUAAACGAGGCAGCAAACCCAGAGGGGUCUUGACCUUGGUUGUUGGUCAUGGUCCGAAUAGGCAAUUUUCUCUCUCUCUCUCUCUGUGUGUGUGUGUGUGUGUGUGUGUGUGUGUGUGUGUGUGUGUGUGUUGCAGGUUUAAGUAAACCAUUAAGUUGAAUGAUAGUGUUGGGAACCAGGGUUGGGAGAAGAGGGGGACCCCGUGGAUUGAAAUGAAAAUGUUGUCUGUUUAUUUUGUUUUGCUUUUUUUUUUUCUCUUCAAGACAGGAUUUCUAUGUGUAACAUCCCUGGCUGUCCUGGAACUCACUUUGUAGACCAGCAGACUGGCCUCAAACUCACAGAGAUCCAUCUGCCUUUGCCCGCCAAGUGCUGGGAUUAAAGCCAUGCACCACCACUGCCCGGUCCAUUUGGGUUUAUUUUUAAGCAACUAGUUCUAUGAGCCUGGGAACAGGGCCACCCAUAGCAAAGGACAUUACCUGGGUCCAUGUCUUGGUUUUUAAAUAUCACUGUCUGUGAAAAGGAGCAGAGGUCCUUGGAGAAAGGCCUCCUUCAGGGAGAGUUAGAUGAGCCAGGAAUGGCUCCUGCCAGAAAGCACAGAGCUGCCCAAAGAACUGAUGGAGAGAGUCCAGAAGCGCAAUGGAGCUUUUUCAGU
ensembl:lncRNA